UUAUAGAAUCAUUUUCAAGUUAUAUUAUAAUUUAUUAAUUCAAAAUAUUAAUAUUUGUAGGUAUCUAACAAUAAUAUGGGGAAAAAUAUUUAUGGCCAAAUAAUGUGGUGUGUUCGUUUGUUUUGAUUUAAAGUGAAAUAUAUUGUAAUAAAAUAAAUUUUAACUAAAUAGCUCCACAAUAAUGUAACUUAAUAGCAUUACAAGAUGUAUAUAUUAGAAGAUGCACAUCAAUAAAAAAUAACACAUGGGAAGAUAAGUAAGUUUUAUAUACUUAUGGACAAGAUAAUUUGGGAUGAAGUAAAAAUGUUUGGUAUAAAUAACAACUGUCGUACCAGUUUUAAGGCCUAAACUCGGGUACAUUGCCAAUUUUCUGCCAAGCAUCAUGGUUCAGCCUUCAUGGUUGUAUGCAUUUUUUGCCUGUCAUCAUUGUUCUAUAUAUGCAUCAUUAGAGAGAUUGUUGAUAUUGCUGUUUGAGGUAGAAAAGAAAUUAAGCGUGGCUGAGAGAGCACACUCCAAGAUUGAAGGUCAACUAACAGCUGCACUAGUUGGAUUCCAUCGUUAUGCUCCGCGUGUGAAUCUCAGGGGACCCAAUGGUCAUUAUCAGUCGGAUAAGAUCCCUGGGGAGGGUCUUUAUGCUCCGAUAUUCUAUAGUAAGCUUGUUAGGCUUAUCCGUAUGAGGCUUCGGAACUUUGACAAAAAAUCCUCAAAUUGACAGACGUUUCUUACUGAUUGGUGUUGAUGGCUCUUGAAAUUUAAUAUUUGAUGUUGAUUUGUCUUUCA